GCCGGGGUGGCGAAACUGGUCAGACGCGCCUGACUUAAAAUCAGGUGUCCCCCGUGGGGCGUGCGGGUUCGAGUCCCGCCCCCGGCA
rnacentral:tRNA from 1 species